UUUCUCAAGCUGUGACUCAGGAACAAAGUUCACAAGAGCUUUCGGUACAGAAUAUUUUUGAAUGAGUUAUGUUUGUCUUGAUAGACUUUUUAGGAAAUUGUUGUUGUGUUUCUUCCCCUUGCUGUUAUUCUAUUUUUUCUUUUGUCUCCAGUCUGAAAUCAUUAGCGAUCCUUUCUAUAGCUCUGCAAGAGAAUCACCAGAUCUUAUCCCAAAGGAUGACACAUGGGAAAAGUGCAUGGAUCUCAUCUAGAAGAAGCACAGACCCUUUCCUCUAACAUAUGACUGUCUAGAACUUAGUCACAUGACCUCACCUGAAGCAAAGGAGCCUGGGAAAGCAUAUUCUAGCUUGCAGGACACUUCUAUUUCACAUGGAAAGAGACCAAACCUCACAAUAGAAAGCAUAACCCAGUGAAGAAUGCAUUUGGGAAGCAAUCCAUGCUUUCUACCCCUCUCCAGUCUUGCGGCCACCACGCCAGAUGUGCUCUAUGCAAUACAGCUCUGGGAGCAGCCCAUUCACUUCACAGUUGAAGGAGGCAGACCCAGCAAGGAUCAGUAACUUGCAGGAGGCCACGUGGCUGGACCUACACAUUGGUUACUGAGUAUUUGUGAGAUCCAGAACAUCAAGCCCGGAGCAGUGACCAGCACAUUGCAGGACCAAGAGACCAAGAAAAAAGAUUGCUUCAAGGUCACAAGCAUGAAAAAAGAAGCUAAGUCUUUAAAAUCUGCUGUGUAUUUGAAAAAACAGAAGCCAGUGUUAUGUGGUGGCAGAAAAAUUAGUGAAACUGCCACCCAUAGUAACACAGAAGAUGGAAAAAGCACCUCAAAACUUGUAGAUUUGGCCAAGGAGAUUCCAGAAAGGAAUGUUGGAGGUGUAAGCUGUCUUCUUUAAACUGUGUAUAAGGAGGCAAACUCAUUUCAGCUGUAAUCUUGUGAUUGCUGUUUCCUUGGAUGAAUAUUCACAAUUUCUUUAAAAAUGAUAAAGAGAAAAAAGGUUUUUUUCCAAGACACUAUAUGAUAGCCAUAAUCCAAGAUGUCCUCUGAUGAUCUCUGUCUCCUUGGAUGCAAACACUUGUGGAAAGGAUUCAAAGGAUGAGAAGAACUGAAUGGAUCAUUGCUGACUUGGAAGAUAGAAGAAGCGGAAUGUGGGCCAAAGAAUUUGGGCAGCCUGUAAAAUUUGUGAAGGGUUACCUGAUAGCUAACAAGGAAUCAGGAACAGCAGUCCUAUAACCACAAAGAACUGAAUUUGCCAACAACUUGAAUAAGCAAAGAAAUGGAUUCUCCCCUAUAGUCUUCAAAGAGGAGCACAGCUCUGCUGCUGUCUUGAUCUCAGCCUUGUGUGACCCAUGUCAGACUCCUGACCUACAGAAUUGUAUGAUGAAUUUGUGAUAUCUCAGGCCCCUGAGCGUGUGGUAAUUUAUAAUAGCAGUGACAGAAGACUAACACAGGUGCAUUUUGCAUGUGGGAGGGAUGUGAAUGAUUGAGUACCAGAGGGUAGAGUGCAGUAACCAGCCUCCAAGAUGGCCACCAAUGACUACUGCCUCCUGAAAUUCACAUCCUGGUGUAAUCCCCUCCCAGGGUGUGCCAGAGAUAGCCCGUGUGACUGUUAAAUAUGACAGAAGUGAUGGUAUAUUACUGUGCUAUUGCUUUAUUGCCUCAACUCCAAAUUCACCUUUUUUGCCUGUUCAGUGAAGAUGAGCCCUUCACAUACUCUGCCUUUGCCACCUGACACUAUGCUAAACUUUGUCAAUAGAGGGUGCUGUAGAGGCUGCAAGAAGAAAAGGUUUUCCCUUCUGGUUCCAGUGGGCUCACCUGUCCAGCUCCUGAAGCACCUGCGGUUCUCUAGCUUCUAUUUCCUGCAAUAACACCAGCUCCUCCAGCACAAGCUCCCAAGGAGCAGGUGGCUUCUAAGUGUCCUUAGUGAGACACAACCCAGAACCUUUGAGGGCAGGCCAGCAAGUUGCAGAAACCUGAUUUCUGGCAAGGUCCACAGGUGCAACACCAUGGAGAUUUCUCCCACAUUCAGUGAGUCACGGUCACACCUGCAAGAGGGUGUGGAUCUCAGUCUUGGGGAGGGGUCUCUUCCUUGAGUGUUCUAUCAGUCCUAGAGGUUCCUAAUUUUUUCUAUUCCUACAUUCUUUAGAGUUCUUUUUACAUAUUAGCUAAUCCUUCAUUAUUCCAACCCCCUGCUUGGUUAAUGAUUCUUUAUAUUAAACUUUCCCUAUCCAAGUUGCCAUGUAGUUUCUUUCUCCUGAUUGGACUCAGACCCAGUCACUUCUGGAUUUGGUUAUAAAAGGCACAGUAGAUUCUGUCUUGUCACACAUUCUCUGCCCACGUGCUUUGGGGGGAGAUAGCUGCCAUGACCUACUCAGCAACUGGCGAGGUCCACGCAGUGAGGCUCUGAAGCUACUGGCUGGCAGCCACGUGAGGGAGCUUGGACGUGGACACUCCCACACCAUCAGGCCUUCGGACGAGUCUGCAGCCUUGGCUGACAUCGUGAUUGUAGCCUUGAGAAACCGAGACCCAGAGCCACCUGGCUAAGCUGCUCAUAGAUUCCCUGCCUCAGAAACUAAGUGAGAUAAUAAAAGUUUGUGGUUUUAAGCCACUAAGUUUUGAGAUAAUGUGUUAAUGUAGCAAUCAAUAAUGAAUACA